rnacentral:tRNA from 1 species
CCGCUCGUAGCUCAAUUGGAUAGAGUGCCGGGCUUCGAACCCGAAGGUUGCAGGUUCGAGUCCUGCCGAGCGGGCCA